AGGAGUGUAGCUCAGUGGAAGUGCAUGCGCUUAGCAUGUAUCGGGCCCUGGGUUCAACUCCCAGCACCUUUA
rnacentral:tRNA from 1 species